AGUAGAAUUGCUGGGUCAUAUGGUAACUCUAUGUUUAAGUUUUUGAGGAACUGCCAAACUGUUUUUCAAAUAUGGUUGUACCAUUUUACAUUCCCAUUAGCAAU
rnacentral:pre_miRNA from 1 species